GGCCUUUUGAUAAUAAUUUAAGGUCGGGCCUGCCCAAUGAUUAAUUUAAUGGCCGCGGUAUAUUAACUGUGCAAAGGUAGCAUAAUCAUUAGUUUUUUAAUUGAAAGCUGGAAUGAAGGGUUUAAUGAAAAAAGUUCUGUCUCUACUUAAAUUUGUUAGAAAUUUAUUUUUAAGUUAAAAAGCUUAAAUAGUUAUUAAAGACGAGAAGACCCUAUAGAGUUUUAUAUCUAGGGAAUAUAUUUUAUUUAGAAUUUUAAAAUUAUGUUUUUCAGGUAUUUUGUUGGGGUGACAGAAAAAUUUAAUAAACUUUUUUUUUAAAAGAACAUUUAUAUAUGAAUAUUUGAUCCUUUUUUAAGAUUAAAAGAUAAAAUUACCUUAGGGAUAACAGCGUAAUUUUUUUUAGAGUUCUUAUCGAAAGAAAAGAUUGCGACCUCGAUGUUGGAUUAAAAUUAAUUUUUGGCGCAAAAGCUAAAGAGAUUGGGUCUGUUCGACCUUUAAAUUUUUACAUGAUCUGAGUUUAGACCGGUUUGA
rnacentral:rRNA from 1 species